AUUGAACGCUGGCGGCAUGCCUUACACAUGCAAGUCGAACGGCAGCACGGGAGCAAUCCUGGUGGCGAGUGGCGAACGGGUGAGUAAAGUAUCGGAACGUGCCCAGUCGUGGGGGAUAACGUAGCGAAAGUUACGCUAAUACCGCAUACGAUCUAUGGAUGAAAGCGGGGGAUCGCAAGACCUCGCGCGAUUGGAGCGGCCGAUAUCAGAUUAGGUAGUUGGUGGGGUAAAGGCUCACCAAGCCGACGAUCUGUAGCUGGUCUGAGAGGACGGCCAGCAACAAUGGGACUGAGACACGGCCCAGACUCCGACGGGAGGCAGCAGUGGGGAAUUUUGGACAAUGGGCGAAAGCCUGAUCCAGCCAUGCCGCGUGCGGGAUGAAGGCCUUCGGGUUGUAAACUGCUUUUGUACGGAACGAAAAGGUUUGGCCUAAUAAGCUGAGCUCAUGACGGUACCGUAAGAAUAAGCACCGGCUAACUACGUGCCAGCCGCCGCAGUAA
rnacentral:rRNA from 1 species